UGUACACACCGCCCGUCACACCACGAGAGUUUGUAACACCCGAAGUCGGUGGGGUAACCUUUAUGGAGCCAGCCGCCUAAGGUGGGACAGAUGAUUGGGGUGAAGUCGUAACAAGGUAGCCGUAUCGGAAGGUGCGGCUGGAUCACCUCCUU
rnacentral:rRNA from 1 species